AAAUCGCGCAUACCUGCAGUCGAAGAGAAGUCCUGCGGGAUGAGUACAGUGGCGCACGGUCCGUUUACACGUAGGUGACCUGCCUAUUAGCGGUGGAUAACACGAAGAAAUUCGUGCUAAUACCGCAUACGCAAAGUGAAUUUGGAAGUAACUUUGGAAAGAAUCCCUCUCCUUGGAAGCAUUUACUAAUAGAUGGGCCUGCGUAGCAUUAGCUUGAUGGUGGGGUAACGGCCUACCAUGGCGACGAUGCUUAACUGGUCUGAGAGGAUGAUCAGUCACACUGGAACUGAGACACGGUCGAGACUCUUACGGGAGGCAGCAGUGGGGAAUAUUGCGCAAUGGGCGAAAGCCUGACGCAGCAAUGCCGCGUGAGUGAGGAAGGCCUUCGGGUUGUAAAGCUCUGUCAUAUGGAAAGAAUGGUCAUCGUUCUAACAGGACGGUGACCCGACGGUACCAUAAAAGGAAGCACCGGCUAACUUCGUGCCAGCAGCCGCGGUAAUACGAAGGGUGCAAGCGUUGUUCGGAUUUAUUGGGCGUAAAGCGCGCGCAGGCCGAUUAUUAAGCCAGAUGUGAAAUCUCGGGGCUCAACCCCGAAACUGCGUCUGGAACUGGUAAUCUAGAAUCUUGGAGGGGGAAGCGGAAUUUCGCAUGUAGGGGUAAAAUCCGUAGAGAUGCGAAGGAACACCAGAGCCGAAGGGGGCUUCCUGGCCAAGUAUUGACGCUGAGGCGCGAAAGCGUGUUGAGCAAACACGAUUAGAUACCCUGGUAGUCCACGCCGUA
rnacentral:rRNA from 1 species